GAUGAAGAACGCAGCGAAAUGCGAUAAUUAAUGUGAAUUGCAGAAUUCAGUGAAUCAUCGAGUCUUUGAACGCACAUUGCGCCCCCUGGUAUUCCGGGGGGCAUGCCUGUCCGAGCGUCAUUGCUGCCCUCAAGCCCGGCUUGUGUGUUGGGCCUCGUCCCCCCUCCGCGGGGGACGGGCCCGAAAGGCAGCGGCGGCACCGUGUCCGGUCCUCGAGCGUAUGGGGCUUUGUCACCCGCUCUGUAGGCCCGGCCGGCGCCUUAGCCGACGACACAAUCUUUUUUUUCAGGUUGACCUCGGAUCAGGUAGGGAUACCCGCUGAACUUAAGCAUAUCAAUAAGCGGAGGA
rnacentral:misc_RNA from 1 species